rnacentral:rRNA from 1 species
UGGAGGGCAAGUCUGGUGCCAGCAGCCGCGGUAAUUCCAGCUCCAAUAGCGUAUAUUAAAGUUGUUGCAGUUAAAAAGCUCGUAGUUGAAUUUCGGGAUCAAUUUAUUGGUCGUGCCAACGGUACGCACUGGUACAAUUGGUUUCUCCCUUCUGACGAAGCAUGAUGUCAUUAAUUUGAUGUCGUGGGGAAUCAGGACUGUUACUUUGAAAAAAUUAGAGUGUUUAAAGCAGGCUUUGGCUUGAAUACAUUAGCAUGGAAUAAUGAAAUAGGACGUUUGAUCUUAUUUCGUUGGUUUCUAAGAUCGACGUAAUGAUUAAUAGGGAUAGUUGGGGGCAUUAGUAUUCAAUUGUCAGAGGUGAAAUUCUUGGAUUUAUUGAAGACUAACUACUGCGAAAGCAUUUGCCAAGGAUGUUUUCAUUAAUCAAGAACGAAAGUUAGGGGAUCGAAGACGAUCAGAUACCGUCGUAGUCUUAACCAUAAACUAUGCCGACUAGGGAUCGGAUGAUGUUAAUUUUUUAAUGACUCAUUCGGCGCCUUACG